GACGAAGGAUGCAAGCGUUAUCCGGAUUCAUUGGGUUUAAAGGGUGCGUAGGCGGACUGAUAAGUCAGUGGUGAAAUCUCUUUGCUUAACAAAGAAACUGCCAUUGAUACUGUCGGUCUAGAGUAUAGAUGACGUUGGCGGAAUAUGACAUGUAGUGGUGAAAUACUUAGAUAUGUCAUAGAACACCGAUUGCGAAGGCAGCUAACGAAACUAUAACUGACGCUGAGGCACGAAAAGUGCGGGGAUCAAACAGG
rnacentral:rRNA from 1 species